rnacentral:rRNA from 1 species
CCUUCGGGGAGUAAGGCCCCUUGCUAGACGACAAGGUUGAUAGGCCGGAGCUGUAAGCGCAGCAAUGCGUUCAGGCGACCGGUACUAAUAGGCCGAGGACUUGGUAUC